UACGAAUGGGGCUAGCGUUGUUCGUAAUUACUGGGCGUAAAGCGCACGUAGGCGGAUAUUUAAGUCAGGGGUGCAAUCCCGCAGCUCAACUGCGGAACUGCCUUUGAUACUGGGUAUCGCGAUUAUGGAAGAGGUGAGUGGAAGUCCGAGUGUAGAGGUGAAAGUCGUAGAUAUUCGGAGGACCACCAGUGGCGAAGGCGGCUCAAUGGUCCAUUACUGACGCGGAGGUGCGCAAGCGUUGGGAGCACACAGGAGGCGAUAACAGUGGAGUCC
rnacentral:rRNA from 1 species